CCCCUAGAUGUUCUGGGCCGCACGCGCGCUACACUGAACAGUUCAACAAGUCUUAACCUUGGCCGAUAGGUCUGGGUAAUCUUUGAACGCUGUUCGUGAUUGGGAUAGACCUUUGCAAUUAUGGGUCUUCAACGAGGAAUUCCUAGUAAACGCAAGUCAUCAGCUUGCAUUGAUUACGUCCCUGCCCUUUGUACACACCGCCCGUCGCUCCUACCGAUUGAAUGGUCCGGUGAAGCGUUCGGACCGUGGCCUUUGGACGGUUCGCCGUCUGUUGGCUGCGGGAAGUUCGUUAAACCUUNUNAUUUAANGGAAGGAGAANUCGUANCA
rnacentral:rRNA from 1 species